CCCUUAGAUGUUCUGGGCCGCACGCGCGCUACACUGGCGAAUUCAGCAAGUCUAUCCUAGGCCGGAAGGUCUGGGUAAUCUUCGAAAAUUCGUCGUGAUGGGGAUAGAGCACUGCAACGUGCUCUUCAACGAGGAAUGCCUAGUAAGCGCGAGUCAUCAGCUCGCACUGAUUACGUCCCUGCCCUUUGUACACACCGCCCGUCGCUCCUACCGAUCGAAUGAUCCGGUGAAGUUUUCGGACUAUCGCUGCGCGAGGGGUUUCCCGAGUGCAGUGAUGGGAAGUUACCUAAACCUUAUCAUUUAGAGGAAGGAGAAGUCGUAACA
rnacentral:rRNA from 1 species